GCCAGUGUAGUAUAGUAGUUUGAGUGCUGGACUACAACUCUGAAGACCAGGGUUCAAAUCCCUGCCCAGCCA